CUUGCUGGGGGGAUUAGUGGCGAACGGGUGAGUAACACGUGAGUAACCUGCCCUUGACUCUGGGAUAAGCGCUGGAAACGGCGUCUAAUACCGGAUACGAGCUUCAGCCGCAUGGCUAGGAGUUGGAAAGAAUUUUGGUCAAGGAUGGACUCGCGGCCUAUCAGCUAGUUGGUGAGGUAAUGGCUCACCAAGGCGACGACGGGUAGCCGGCCUGAGAGGGUGACCGGCCACACUGGGACUGAGACACGGCCCAGACUCCUACGGGAGGCAGCAGUGGGGAAUAUUGCACAAUGGGCGAAAGCCUGAUGCAGCAACGCCGCGUGAGGGACGACGGCCUUCGGGUUGUAAACCUCUUUUAGUAGGGAAGAAGCGAAAGUGACGGUACCUGCAGAAAAAGCACCGGCUAACUACGUGCCAGCAGCCGCGGUAAUACGUAGGGUGCAAGCGUUGUCCGGAAUUAUUGGGCGUAAAGAGCUCGUAGGCGGUUUGUCGCGUCUGCUGUGAAAUCUGGGGGCUCAACCCCCAGCCUGCAGUGGGUACGGGCAGACUAGAGUGCGGUAGGGGAGAUUGGAAUUCCUGGUGUAGCGGUGGAAUGCGCAGAUAUCAGGAGGAACACCGAUGGCGAAGGCAGAUCUCUGGGCCGUAACUGACGCUGAGGAGCGAAAGCAUGGGGAGCGAACAGGAUUAGAUACCCUGGUAGUCCAUGCCGUAAACGUUGGGAACUAGAUGUGGGGACCAUUCCACGGUCUCCGUGUCGCAGCUAACGCAUUAAGUUCCCCGCCUGGGGAGUACGGCCGCAAGGCUAAAACUCAAAGGAAUUGACGGGGGCCCGCACAAGCGGCGGAGCAUGCGGAUUAAUUCGAUGCAACGCGAAGAACCUUACCAAGGCUUGACAUAUACCGGAAACGGCCAGAGAUGGUCGCCCCGCAAGGUCGGUAUACAGGUGGUGCAUGGUUGUCGUCAGCUCGUGUCGUGAGAUGUUGGGUUAAGUCCCGCAACGAGCGCAACCCUCGUUCUAUGUUGCCAGCACGUAAUGGUGGGAACUCAUAGGAGACUGCCGGGGUCAACUCGGAGGAAGGUGGGGAUGACGUCAAAUCAUCAUGCCCCUUAUGUCUUGGGCUUCACGCAUGCUACAAUGGCCGGUACAAAGGGCUGCAAUACCGUAAGGUGGAGCGAAUCCCAAAAAGCUGGUCUCAGUUCGGAUUGAGGUCUGCAACUCGACCUCAUGAAGUCGGAGUCGCUAGUAAUCGCAGAUCAGCAACGCUGCGGUGAAUACGUUCCCGGGCCUUGUACACACCGCCCGUCAAGUCAUGAAAGUCGGUAACACCCGAAGCCA
rnacentral:rRNA from 1 species